AGUGAACGCUGGCGGUAGGCCUAACACAUGCAAGUCGAACGGCAGCACAGUAAGAGCUUGCUCUUACGGGUGGCGAGUGGCGGACGGGUGAGGAAUACAUCGGAAUCUACUUUUUCGUGGGGGAUAACGUAUGGAAACUUACGCUAAUACCGCAUACGACCUACGGGUGAAAGCAGGGGAUCUUCGGACCUUGCGCGAUUGAAUGAGCCGAUGUCGGAUUAGCUAGUUGGCGGGGUAAAGGCCCACCAAGGCGACGAUCCGUAGCUGGUCUGAGAGGAUGAUCAGCCACACUGGAACUGAGACACGGUCCAGACUCCUACGGGAGGCAGCAGUGGGGAAUAUUGGACAAUGGGCGCAAGCCUGAUCCAGCCAUACCGCGUGGGUGAAGAAGGCCUUCGGGUUGUAAAGCCCUUUUGUUGGGGAAGAAAAGCAGCAGGUUAAUACCCCGCUGUUCUGACGGUACCCAAAGAAUAAGCACCGGCUAACUUCGUG
rnacentral:rRNA from 1 species